rnacentral:rRNA from 1 species
ACUCAAUAGAUACCCGGGUAGUCCACGCCGUAAACUAUGGAUGCUGGCUGUUAUCGGUAUCGACCCCGGUAGUAGCGAAAGCUAAACGCGUUAAGCAUCCCGCCUGUGGAGUACGAGCGCAAGCUUAAAACAUAAAGGAAUUGACGGGGACCCGCGCAAGCGGUGGAGCGUGUUGUUUAAUUCGACGGUAAACGAAGAACCUUACCCAGGCUUGACAUCCUGCUAAGAUUUCCGAAAGGAAAUUGUGCCUUCGGGCCGCAGUGACAGGUGCUGCAUGGUCGUCGUCAGCUCGUGUCGUGAGAUGUUUGGUUAAGUCCAUCAACGAGCGCAACCUUUAUAGUCAGUUGGAUUUUUCUGGCUAGACUGCCCCGGUAACGGGGAGGAAGGAGGGGAUGAUGUCAGAUCAUUAUUGCCCUUACGUCUGGGGCUACAAACACGCUACAAUGGCCGGUACAAAGGGCAGCCAACCCGCGAGGGGGAGCAAAUCCCAUCAAAGCCGGUCUCAGUUCGGAUUGUAGGCUGAAACUCGCCUGCAUGAAGCUGGAAUC